rnacentral:lncRNA from 1 species
GGGGCCCAGCUAGGGCACUCUCGCGGGACAAUGGGUGUCACGGCAGCCAGCGACCGUUUGUCAUUCACAGCUGCCUGAAAGGAGGACCGCAGUAUUCCCACGCAGGAAGCUUGGACCAAAAGCAGGAAUGCUUAAGGGCGCAUAUGACUUGCCAUGGUAAAAAACAGGAUGCCAACCCAGGCCUGAUGACAUCCACCUCACUAAAAGCUAAGGACUAGGACUUUCUGCUUUAAACAAGGACCCACAUGUGGGUGUUUUCUGUGGGAGAGGGAGAGAGGACAUUCGAAGGGCAGAAGUCUGACCUUUGCAAGCACACGUGAACCACACCAAUGAGAAAUGAAUGGACGAGCCAGAUGCCAAUUUAUAAAUUUCCUACUGCACACCUUGAAUGUGAAAGUACAUGUGGCCGACAAAGAGAAGGGAAGAUGGAGCCGCCAUCUUCAACAGGAGUGGCACAACUGUCGGAUCUAUGUCUGCAGCUGGAUUUUACAGGCUGCUCUUCGUUAGAAAGGAAAACUUUACGGAGGACUUCCAUGCCUUCACUAUCUGCCUAAGUAAAUUCUUCUUAACUCCUGUA